rnacentral:lncRNA from 1 species
AAUUCUUAAGAGCAAUUCUCUGUAACCACCAACCUUUUUAUAUAGGGGGUCCGGCACGCAUAGUCACCGAUUUUCAUGAAACUUAGCCAAAACAUGUGAUCAUGUUAAAAAGUUAGAAAAAUGCCCACCCAAAUGUUGCUAGGUCAUGGUUGCCAUGGCAACCAAGUGAAUGAGAUUUCCCGCAAAUUUUGAGGAAUUUAGCAUCGAAAAAACAACUACUUUGCAGUCAUUCGUAAUCAAAACUAGAUUUAUUUAAUGAUAUUUGUAAAUAUUUUUUAGAAACAUGAAACUUAACAAACAAAAUAGCAAUGUCAUAUAUACAAAAAUAUUAGG